GAUUCGAGUCUUGGAUCUAGACCCUUAAGCCUUGGACUCUUUCUUCUAGAUCCAUCUCUGGGCUGGGCUGAUUGUAAUGAGAACACCCUUCUCGUGGACGUAGCCCAUCAUUCGAGUGAACCACAUAUAUCUUGUCUUCUAUAUGUUUAUUGCUUGCCUAAAUCCUCGCACACUUGGUGAAGGUCCUCACCUUCAUCUAUCAUUCAUCACCUCGUCACUAAGUUAUAAUCAACCUUGGCCUAACCAUUUUGAGCGCCAACAAAUGCCGAGAUUGGGUUCCGAUUAUUAUUAACCGGGAUCGCCCGCCGCCCACAAUGUUUCACCGGCGAGGGAUUUUUCUCCCUUGGGUGAGAUCGUAGAAUCGAAGAUCAUCAAUGACUGCAAGUGACGCCGGCAGGUCCUGGUCCUGGUCCUCCGUCCGGAUUCGUUACCUUCAGGAACGGAUGGCUAGGCCAUUAGGGAUGCGAUCCAAGUGUAGAGAAAAUGGAGAAAGAGCCAGUCCGAUUCGGUUUGGUCGGUAAAUGAGUUUGGUUGGUCCAAAAUGCCAGCCCUAGAAGAAACAGAGGAGGGAAUAAAAUGAGAGAGUGAAAUAGGAUGUGGGGUUUGGGUCUGUGAUGGUGGGGCGGUGGGGUUGGUCAAGAUGAGGGAGAAGUGGGGAGGGUUGACAGGGAUGAGGAAGGAAGUAAAAACAAAAAAAACAAAAAAAAAGUCCCAGUCCAGCUCGAGCAAUAGUGGCAACGUCUCAGCUGGCCGUUGAAGUGAGAGACCGAAUUGAAGAGAACGAAACCGAGAAGAAGGUAUUCGAUAGGCUUCGUCUCGGCACGGCACGCCUUGCAAUUUCGGCCCCGGGCGGAUGAGUUCGGGAUCAGUCAGAAAACCUGAUCAAACCAAACAUUUGGGGCAGUUGGAAACUAAGUUUUGAGAAUUGAAUGAACUUCACUCACACCACAACAAAGGAGUGAUUACUUGAGUGAAGAGUUUCUCCUCUUGAUCUGGAUGAGCUUGUCAAACACACACCAUGGAAAGCUAAGGAAAUGAUCUCUUUCCAUUCCCUUGUUGCAGCGAC